AUUGAACGCUGGCGGCAUGCCUUACACAUGCAAGUCGAACGGUAACGCGGGGCAACCUGGCGACGAGUGGCGAACGGGUGAGUAAUACAUCGGAACGUGCCCAGUAGUGGGGGAUAGCCCGGCGAAAGCCGGAUUAAUACCGCAUACGACCUACGGGUGAAAGCGGGGGAUCGCAAGACCUCGCGCUAUUGGAGCGGCCGAUGUCAGAUUAGCUAGUUGGUGGGGUAAAGGCCUACCAAGGCGACGAUCUGUAGCUGGUCUGAGAGGACGACCAGCCACACUGGGACUGAGACACGGCCCAGACUCCUACGGGAGGCAGCAGUGGGGAAUUUUGGACAAUGGGGGCAACCCUGAUCCAGCCAUGCCGCGUGCGGGAAGAAGGCCUUCGGGUUGUAAACCGCUUUUGUCGGGGAAGAAACGGUCUGCGCUAAUACCGCGGACUAAUGACGGUACCCGAAGAAUAAGCACCGGCUAACUACGUGCCAGCAGCCGCGGUAAUACGUAGGGUGCAAGCGUUAAUCGGAAUUACUGGGCGUAAAGCGUGCGCAGGCGGCUUUGCAAGACAGAUGUGAAAUCCCCGGGCUCAACCUGGGAACUGCAUUUGUGACUGCAUGGCUAGAGUGCGGCAGAG
rnacentral:rRNA from 1 species